UACGUAGGGUGCGAGCGUUGUCCGGAAUUAUUGGGCGUAAAGAGCUCGUAGGCGGUUUGUCGCGUCUGCUGUGAAAACUCAGGGCUUAACCCUGAGCCUGCAGUGGGUACGGGCAGACUAGAGUGUGGUAGGGGAGAUCGGAAUUCCUGGUGUAGCGGUGGAAUGCGCAGAUAUCAGGAGGAACACCGAUGGCGAAGGCAGAUCUCUGGGCCGUAACUGACGCUGAGGAGCGAAAGCAUGGGGAGCGAACAGG
rnacentral:rRNA from 1 species